GGUUGGUUAAAAACUUCAUCCCUAAUUUUAGUUGUGACAAUCAUUACCGAGUCCUUUUUUUUCAGGAUCCAAAUAACAAGAACGUGGUCAAUUGUGAUAAGAAGUUGAGGAAUAUUUUGUUGGGUAAACCUCAAGUUGAACUUGCUGAACUUCCUACACUAAUCAAGCUGCAUUUUCCAAAAGAGGCAAAAUGAUUUUAACUAUUUGAAUUGAGGAUGUCGCGGUGGCAAAUUCCAACCCAAGCCCAAUGUUCAAAUUGAGAGAGAAACCUGCUGCUGACACUCUCAUCCAGAUGCAGUUGAGUCCAUUCCAUGUCCACAACAAGCUCAGUCAAUUCGUUCUGAAAUUGAAUACAUGAACAGGGUUCAAACCUUGCAUUCCCAUCUAACAAUAUUGUUGAUUUCCCAUCCUUGAGGAAAUAUCCAAUAUUUUUUUGGAUGAUUUAGAACAUUUUGGACGGUUUAGAACUUAUAGAUAGUUUUUUAUGUUUAGAAACAUAGUUUUUAGAUGGUUUGGAAUGUAUAGAUAGUUUUUGGAUAUUUAGAACUUAUUGAUAGUUUUUUAUGGAUGUUUGAAACAA